UCCUAGCCCAGAUUGCAGUGAAAAGCCCGGAGUAAAAAAGCAAAAGUUUCUUGUUUUAAAAAAGCGACCAACGGAAGCUCUUUUUAGGACAUUAGAAACUUUGCUUUUUUAGGAGGACUUGUAACGAAAAGCUGGAAUUGCU
rnacentral:misc_RNA from 1 species